UUUUUUUAGUAAAAAUUAAGUAUAAAUGAAAAUAAAAUAUUAUAGGAAAAAGGAGAGGAAAAAAGAAAAAGAAAUAGGGAGGAAAAAGAAUAUAUAAUAAUAUUAAAUAAUGGAAAAUCAUAAAGAGAAAGAAUAUAUUGUAAGGUAGGGAAAUAUAUAAUUAAAAGAAAAGAGGUAGAUAGAUAUAAGAAAUGUAUAUUAAACAAAAUGGAAAGUUAAUAUAAAAAA
rnacentral:RNase_P_RNA from 1 species